UACGUAGGGGGCAAGCGUUGUCCGGAUUUAUUGGGCGUAAAGAGCUCGUAGGUGGUUCGGUAAGUCGGGUGUGAAAUCUCGGAGCUUAACUCCGAAACUGCAUUCGAUACUGCCGUGCUUGAGGACUGGAGAGGAGACUGGAAUUUACGGUGUAGCGGUGAAAUGCGUAGAUAUCGUAAGGAAGACCAGUGGCGAAGGCGGGUCUCUGGACAGUUCCUGACGCUGAGGCACGAAGGUCAGGGGAGCAAACGGG
rnacentral:rRNA from 1 species